AUUGAACGCUAGCGGGAUGCUUUACACAUGCAAGUCGAACGAGUGGCGGACGGGUGAGUAAUGUAUCGGAACGUUCCCAGUAGCGGGGGAUAACUACUCGAAAGAGUGACUAAUACCGCAUUCUAUUGGAGCGGCCGAUGUCGGAUUAGGUAGUUGGUGGGGUAAAGGCUUACCAAGGCAACGAUCCGUAGCUGGUUUGAGAGGAUGACCAGCCACACUGGGACUGAGACACGGCCCAGACUCCUACGGGAGGCAGCAGUGGGGAAUUUUGGACAAUGGGCGAAACCCUGAUCCAGCCAUGCCGCGUGUAUGAGAAGGCCUUCGGGUUGUAAAGCACUUUUGGCAGAGAAGCGGUAUCUGCAGAAUAAGCACCGGCUAACUACGUGCCAGCAGCCGCGGUAAUAC
rnacentral:rRNA from 1 species